UCAAACUUGGUCAUUUAGAGGAAGUAAAAGUCGUAACAAGGUUUCCGUAGGUGAACCUGCGGAAGGAUCAUCAUUGAAUCUAUAAUUUAUACACCCUUGAGAAUUUUGGGGGCCCGACGGGGACAGCCAAAGCAAAUUUUGCCUUGGCUGGCCGCGUAAAGGCUGACCCUGAAUAUUAUGAGCUUGAUGUUGUUGGUGGUUUCAGUGUACUGCAUUGAUCAGGUUUGGUCAAGGCUGCUGUCCGCCAGCUUGUCAGGCGCUUAGCAAAAACGCACUUAAAACACUUUAGCUAAUAAAAUUUUUUUUAAUUGAACAACUUUCAACAAUGGAUCUCUUGGCUCUCGCAUCGAUGAAGAACGCAGC
rnacentral:misc_RNA from 1 species